AUUGAACGCUGGCGGCAGGCCUAACACAUGCAAGUCGAGCGAGCGGCGGACGGGUGAGUAAUGUCUGGGAAACUGCCUGAUGGAGGGGGAUAACUACGGGAAACGGUAGCUAAUACCGCAUACCAUCAGAUGUGCCCAGAUGGGAUUAGCUAGUAGGUGGGGUAACGGCUCACCUAGGAGACGAUCCCUAGCUGGUCGGAGAGGAUGACCAGCCAGACGGGAACUGAGACACGGUCCAGACUCUUAGGGGAGGCAGCGGUGGAGAAUAUUGCGCAAUGGGCGCGAGCCUGAUGCAGCCAUGCCGCGUGUGUGAAGAAGGACUUAGGGUUGUAGAGCACUUUCAGCGGGGAGGCGUUACCCGCAGAAGAAGCACCGGCUAACUCCGUGCCAGCCGCCGCGGUAAUAC
rnacentral:rRNA from 1 species